rnacentral:rRNA from 1 species
GACCGAGGGUGCAAACGUUGUUCGGAUUUACUGGGCGUAAAGCGCGUGUAGGCGGCUUUGCAAGUCGGAUGUGAAAGCCCACGGCUCAACCGUGGAAGUGCAUCCGAAACUGCAUGGCUUGAGUCUCGGAGAGGAAGGUGGAAUGCUUGGUGUAGAGGUGAAAUUCGUAGAUAUCAAGCAGAACACCUGCGGCGAAGGCGGCCUUCUGGACGAUGACUGACGCUGAGACGCGAAAGCGUGGGGAGCAAACAGG